rnacentral:lncRNA from 1 species
UAAAAUAAAAGCGAUGCGGGAAAUAAAUAAAAUAAAAGCGAUGCGAGAAAUAAAUAAAAUAAAAGCGAUGCGGGAAAUAAAUAAAAUAAAAGUGAUAAAUAAGAACCUGCUCCAAAUGGAGGGCUUUAAAUCUGGUACAAAAAUAAACCUCCGACUCCUGAAGUUAAAGACGACAACAACUCAAAGUAACCCAACUCAAUCUCACUAAGGUGCGAUAACCCCCUGAUGUGACGGAUUACCGCUAUUACAAAUGACAAAUAUAUGCUUA